rnacentral:lncRNA from 1 species
AGGAACCUUCCCUUCCCUGUAUUUUGCCUAAACAUUAGCCUAUAAAUAGGCAUACCAAUUGUAAAGGGGAGUGUGACCAACGGAGAAAAGAAAGAAAGGGGAGAAUAGAAAAAGAAGAGAGAAGAAGAAGAGAAAAGAAGAGAAAGAAGAAAGAAAAGAAAGAAGAAGAAAGAGAGAGAAAAUUCAGUGAGCCUCACACAUUGUAAACUCUAAAGUUGUAGCCCUAUUAUUUUAUAUAGUGAAAAAGUUACUGCUGCUGCUCUCCGAGGACGUAGGCAUAGCCGAACCUCGUUAAAUGCUGUGUCUCAUCUACUUUACGUGCAGCUCAAUAUUCAUACAUAUUCCAGGAUAUUUUUAUAACACGUUAUCAGCACGAGAAGCUCUCAGGUAUAAUUUUUGUGCUGCACUAUUAUCUAUACUACUAACCACUAACAAAAAUGAACCCUUGGUAAUACUAAACAUAUUAUCAGUGGGAGACCGUUACUAAUACUAACAUUUUUCUUAUUUUAUUCGGUGGUGGUUUUAACCCCACAUUUAUUUAUUGUAUGGUGUAGGUUUAAUAUCCAUACAUGCACAUUUACUUUAUCGCAAAUUUAUUUUACCGCAUAUUUAUUUUAUUUACUGUAUGGUGUAGGUUUAUUACCCAUACAACAGUAUUUAUUUAAAAGGGUGGUGCGGGUUUAUCGUCCACGCCUUUGCUUUUAUUUAAAUGUAUGGAGCAGAAUUAGUGCCCAUACAAGCACAAUUUACUUUACCGCACAUUUAAUUUUAUUUAAAGUAUGGUGCGGGAUUAACGUCCAUACAGCAAGCAAUUUAGUUUAUGAAUUUAAUUUACCGCACAUUUACAUUUAUUUAAAAGGGUGGUGCGGGUUUAUCGUCCACGCCUUUACUUUUAUUUAAAUGUAUGGAGCAGAAUUAAUGCCCAUACAAGCACAUUAACUUUAUGAAUUUAAUUUACCGCACAUUUACAUUUAUUUAAAGUGUGGUGCGGGUUUAUCGUCCAUACCAGUAAUUUAUUUAUCAGCAAUUUAUUUUAUGGAUUAAAUGUGUUGUAUGAUGAGUUUUUACAGUAUGCAGAUCAGGACCAGAAGUUCCUUGAUCCUCAUCAUACAAUUACAUCAGGACUUGAAGAUCCUUGAUGAUGAUAUUAAUAUGAGAGCUGGCAGUCUCUCCGGUACUGUAUUUGUAAACAUGUGAUCGGACUUAAGGGUCCUUGAUCCCUGACAUGUAAAUAAGGACCUAGAGUUCCUUAAUGAUGUAACAGUACCGUAUUGGUUCAUGGUGCCGUACACAUGUAUGAUAACUGUACUGGCAGAUGAAUAGAUACGUAUUCAUGACUUGAUGAAUAGUACUAUUCACAUGAAUAGUGACGUAUGCAUACAUAUUAACCAUUUUGGGUAAACCGUCACUAUAUACAAAAGGGAACCUGCAGUUUCAUGGUGCCGUACACAUGGAUGAUAACUGUACUGGCAGAUGAAUAGAUACGUAUUCAUGACUUGAUGAAUAGUACUAUUCACAUGAAUAGUGACGUAUGCAUAAAUAUUAACCAUUUUGGGUAAACCGUCACUAUAUACAAAAGGGAACCUGCAGUUCCUUAAACUCAUGGAUAAGCAAUUAAAUGAGAUGCCAGAAGUUCCUCAAGAUAUGGACAAUUAUGUAAGGACUUGAAGUCCAGAAAUAUGUACAGAAAAUUGUAAAAAUGUCCAUACCAUAAGAAUAUGUGGCUUUGGCCUGAAGUUCAAAAUUUACAGUGUUGAGAACCUGAAGUUCCAACAAUUAAAUGGACAACCCUUGAGGUAUUAUUGCAAAUUGUGGUAUGCCACCUAUUUCUUUGGCAUAAGAAGAUGAUGAAUUUAAUAAAGUUCGAUUUUGUUAUAAUCGACACCUCAAAGAAGAAAUAUAUUUUGUGAAUUCCGGUUGUUAAGAAUACACCGCGAAAUGGAUAAUAUUAAUAUAAACCUCAAAUAAUGAAUUAAGGCUCCCCACAUAUUUUGUUAUAUCUGGGCCGGAAGCCCAUGGAUCCAAAUAUAUGAGAGAUCCUGAACUUGAAGUUGUGGGUAUAUAGUAGUUAAUGCUCUUCACUACUAUAUUGCGAUAUUAUCAUGGCUUUUACUCAAUUCAUAUUUCAUGUCCAUUUGAAAAGGGCAAAUAAAUUCUAAGUUUGUGCCCAGGCCAAAAGUUCCGGGUUACCAUGCGAUAAAAUAUGAAAUUUGGGAGAGACAAUGUGAUUAUUUGAACCUAUAAGGCACAAGGUUCCAAAUCGUCAUUUUGAAAAGACGUAAAAACCACAGGUGCAAGUUUAAGAAUAUGCGCAAUUAUUAUAACAGGAACAUACAACAGAUAGAUUUUUUCCUGCAAUGAAGGUGCAGGCCCUGUAAAAUCUAUAAAAUUACAUUAUGUUCUGGAAGCCUCUGAAGGAAGAGGACGGCGCCUCUUAAGCUUAGCCAUGAGCUUCUCGUGGUCUCCCAAAAUUCUUUCAUUGGAGACCUGCAGCAUGUCUAGCCUUCUCAGUGUAUCAACAGAGUACGAACUCACCAGUUUCAACAAGGAAUUAUUCUCAACUUUAAGUUUCUCAACCUCCUGUUAAGACUCAUGAAGCAUUCUUUGAAGAGACGAAUUUUCAGUUGUCAGCUUCUCAACCUCGUUUGCUCUAGCACGCAAACGAUCAGCCAUGUUAGAAACAGAAGCAGCACUCUGAAUGCUAAAAGCCAUUGAGUCAUCAAUAGCCUCUUCCUCUGAUCUCCCUGUCAACAACAUUUCAUCCAUUGGAGUAAUGAAAUUCCUAGCUACUAUGACAGUAGUAGCAUCAUUCAUCAUCACAGAAUCAUUAACUGUGAGAUGACGAUUUUUGGAUACAAAGGAUGGACGCCAAACUUGGGCGUCAUUGGUUGUUGUGGGAGCAUCAUUUAAAUUGAAAUAAUUUGGGCAGGAAGAAGAGGAAGCCAUUUUUUUUUUAAGAAGGUUUCGAAGAAAGUCUUAGAAAAACUAAAGGCUCGGAAAAUGAAGGAAGUUGAGUUGAAACGCAGUUUGCAAAGGCAAUAUCUAUAGACGAAAAUGUGGCAACUUUUCAGGACCCCAAUAUCUUCUCGAAUCCCCAUAUUAUCUUUUUCUUUCCCAGAGUUCAAAACUUCACGUGGCCUCUAAUAAUGCUUGUUGGCACUUUCGGCGUUUUUCAAAGUAUUAUUUUCAAAGCCGAUCUUGCUUUACGGAUUUCACGGAGCUACUUUUUCAAAAGUAUCCCGAGAAUCUCGCAAUUUUCCUAUGGUUAAUUUGAAAUUCACCGGUUCUACCUAUUCAUUGUAUUUGUGUAUAAAUGUGUUACUAACGAAAUUUUCUUUGCAGAAGACAUCCAGUUUACUCCAUACCUAGUGAUGCGAUAUCUACUUAUUUUUCUUAUCAGUAAGCACUCAAUAUGCCCGAGAAGCAAGACUAUCUCUGAUCAUCCAUUCAGGAAGCAAGACUAUCCCUGAUCAUCAGGGAACUGUGAAGGCGACUUAUGCUCUAAUCUCCUGAGGUCCUUCUAGACUAGGAGAAAUGAGAGCUUGUUGUCUGCUCCCACCAGCUUCCUUCCUUGCUUGCUUACCUUACCUUGCAAUCAAUAUCACAAUUUUUGUAUCUUUUCUUUCUUUUUAUAACUCUCUGUUCAUAAAGGAUUUUAUUUCUUUAGAAUGAACAUCCGAAGAAAGAAUCCAUGCAGUGAUCCUAACUCUGAGAGUUAUUUGUUUUUGACAGAGAAAAGAAUUGUGAUUUUUGCUCUUGCAGGAUAUAACAAGAUCAUCAAGCGAUACUUUAUAUUUACUGGGCCGAUACGAGCUUGAAUGAUACUUGAGAAAAGUUUCUCCCAUCUAAGGAUGUAAGCAAUACUUGUGUUAUUUUAUGCUUAUAUACCUAUUUGAUAUUUUGUCUUGAAAGGUAACCAAAUGGGGAGAUAAGUCCGUUCCAAAAGAAUGGCUUGUAUGUAUCCAUGAAUUAUUAACGCAAAUUUUACAGAUUGCAAGUUGGAUACAUUGAUAAUACACUGCACAGAUUAAAGUCCCAUAAGAACAGAAUAUGGGUAUAGCAGUGAUCAAUAUGAUGCACGCCUGUUGCGUAGCAAAUGAUGUGGAUUGAAGUCCCGAAAGGACAAUCCUUUGACAUGUCAAUAUUGAUAUUAUGCACGCCUAAUGCGUAGCAAAUUAUAUGGGUUAAAGUCCCAUAAUAUGGGUUAAAGUCCCAGAAAUUAAUUGACAUGUAUGUAUUAAUCUGUGGCAUACCUGCAGCAUGACAGAUAUAUGGGUUCUAAAUGUUCCAACUCUCUAAAUAGAGAUUAUCCACUCCCUACUGUAAAAUAACGCUCCAUUGGAGGUUAUAAUCCACAUUCUCACAUAAUAAAAGCCCCAUGAAGUGGCUUGGGUACCCAAAAGCAAAGAAAUGCUUAUAAUUGAUGCAUGCGCAUGCACAUGAGAAUGGUGGGAUCAUGAAUUGAUGAAUGACAAUUUUUGGUUUUGGAGUAGCUACUCAAAUCAUCAAUGGGCUGUGUUGAUUGGAACCACGUUCAAUUAUUAAAUGUCGACAAUAUCAUUGGCCAAAAUGGAACGAGGUAAUUCCAUUAUAAAUGAGAAUGAACGUGAAAGAACAAACCCACAAUACGAACCCCAAAAUUUGUUAAUACUGAAAGUUAUACUUGGGUGUUCGGAAUAAAAUGGAAUAUACCUACUUUGUAUGACACACUGAAUGUUGGGUUUUCUCCAUAUUUACAGAUUCAAUUGUGCCCCCCCUUAUUACACAAUUACGGAGACCAACAUAUUAUCUUUAAGGGUUAUUAAAUGCACGGAGCAUAUCGCCAGAAGCGAUUUCCUAAAGAUGUAUAAAUAGCUGGGUAAAAGCUAUAUAAUGUGUCAUAAAGCUUAAUCCCUUUUAGACAAAAUCCGUUGAGAGGAUUGAUAUUGCAUAAAGCAAGUCCCUAAAGGACAUAUGCUUGAAGCACAAAAUUUGUACUCAAUAUUAAUAUGCAUAAAUUACCUCAGUGAGUACAUUGAUUAUAAUGUGAUUGCAACACAUUAAAGCUUCUGCAGAAUUCAUGAAAUAUUUGUCUCGAUCGAGCAUUAUGCCAACGAGAUUCUUGCUUAUACUAAGAAAGUAUUAAAGUAUUUUUAUGAGGAUUAUCCGUUGGACACUGUAAUGAUUUUCCGGAAGUAUAUUGGACCGGACAUCAUAUUUUCCAGAUAGGGCUCAACUUCAUCACCAUCAUUUUGGGAUGAUGUGAGGUAUAUUUGAUGCUAUCUAAGCAUAACACCAUAUACGGGCAUAUUUUUUUAGUGAACUUAUAAAUAGCCCAAGUGUUCUAAGAUAUGCGGACUCAGGAAAUCUCUAUGGUCGCUUACUGGAAAAAGCUAGUCAUGAAGUUUUCAGGGGGAGAUAUUCAUCAGGGGGAGCAUGGUAUUAAUAAAGACCUUCAUACACUAUUGACUCAUAGCAGCAGUGUCAACCAUGAUAUUCAGACAGAUGAUCAACAGUAUGACUUAAAGAUAUUUUGCCAAGCAUCAGGGAGAGCGUGCUGUCAAUACAGACCCUUACACACUGUACUCUUUUUCCUUCGUCCAGGUUUUUAUCCCACUGGGUUUUUCCUGGCAAGGUUUUAACGAGGCAGUGUCGCACGCGCGUCAAUAUACACAGAAUUUUAUGUUACACGUGAUUAUGUACUCUUUUCCCUUCGACCAGUUUUUGUCCCACUGGGUUUUUACUGGCAAGGUUUUUAACGAGGCAUAUUCCAUAUCAUUUGUGGUCUCCAAGGGGGAGUGUUGUAAAAGUUUGAAGGUGGAGCCCACAGAGGAAGUUUCCUUGCAUCUUCCAGGAACUUUCUCUUCCCUGUAUUUAUCAAUUCAGGAAGUUUCCUUGCAUCUUCCAGGAACUUUCCUUCCCUGUAUUUAUCAAUUCAGGAAGUUUCCUUGCAUCUUCCAGGAACCUUCCCUUCCCUGUAUUUUGCCUAAACAUUAGCCUAUAAAUAGGCAUACCAAUUGUAAAGGGGAGUGUGACCAACGGAGAAAAGAAAGAAAGGGGAGAAGAGAAAAAGAAGAGAGAAGAAGAAGAGAAAAGAAGAGAAAGAAGAAAGAAAAGAAAGAAGAAGAAAGAGAGAGAAAAUUCAGUGAGCCUCACAUAUUGUAAACUCUAAAGUUGUAGCCCUAUUAUUUUAUAUAGUGAAAAAGUUACUGCUGCUGCUCUCCGAGGACAUAAGCAUAGCCGAACCUCGUUAAAUGUUGUGUCUCAUCUACUUUACGUGCAGCUCAAUAUUCAUACAUAUUCCAG